GUAAUACAUCGGAACGUACCCAGUAGCGGGGGAUAGCCCGGCGAAAGCCGGAUUAAUACCGCAUACGCCCUUCGGGGGAAAGGGGGGGAUCGCAAGACCUCUCACUAUUGGAGCGGCCGAUGGCUGAUUAGCUAGUUGGUGGGGUAAAGGCCUACCAAGGCAACGAUCAGUAGCUGGUCUGAGAGGACGACCAGCCACACUGGGACUGAGACACGGCCCAGACUCCUACGGGAGGCAGCAGUGGGGAAUUUUGGACAAUGGGCGAAAGCCUGAUCCAGCAAUGCCGCGUGUGCGAAGAAGGCCUUCGGGUUGUAAAGCACUUUUGUCAGGGAAGAAAUCGUUCGGGCUAAUACCUCGGGCAGUUGACGGUACCUGAAGAAUAAGCACCGGCUAACUACGUGCCAGCAGCCGCGGUAAUACGUAGGGUGCAAGCGUUAAUCGGAAUUACUGGGCGUAAAGCGUGCGCAGGUGGUUCGUUAAGACAGUUGUGAAAUCCCCGGGCUUAACCUGGGAACUGCAAUUGUGACUGGCGGACUAGAGUUUGGCAGAGGGGGGUGGAAUUCCUGGUGUAGCAGUGAAAUGCGUAGAUAUCAGGAGGAACACCGAUGGCGAAGGCAGCCCCCUGGGCCAUGACUGACACUCAUGCA
rnacentral:rRNA from 1 species